rnacentral:rRNA from 1 species
GACGGACGCUGGCGGCGUGCUUAACACAUGCCAGUCGAACGGAAAGGCCCUGCUUUUGUGGGGUGCUCGAGUGGCGAACGGGUGAGUAACACGUGAGUAACCUGCCCUUGACUUUGGGAUAACUUCAGGAAGCUGGGGCUAAUACCGGAUAGGAGCUCCUGCUGCAUGGUGGGGGUUGGAAAGUUUCGGCGGUUGGGGAUGGACUCGCGGCUUAUCAGCUUGUUGGUGGGGUAGUGGCUUACCAAGGCUUUGACGGGUAGCCGGCCUGAGAGGGUGACCGGCCACAUUGGGACUGAGAUACGGCCCAGACUCCUACGGGAGGCAGCAGUGGGGAAUAUUGCACAAUGGGCGGAAGCCUGAUGCAGCAACGCCGCGUGCGGGAUGACGGCCUUCGGGUUGUAAACCGCUUUCGCCUGUGACGAAGCGUGAGUGACGGUAAUGGGUAAAGAAGCACCGGCUAACUACGUG